rnacentral:lncRNA from 1 species
CAACCCCAAUCCAUCCUUUCCAACUUCAAUUUUAUUUUCAGAUGACUUCCUUAAAAUCCAGCGGGGACAUGUGCCCCCUCUGCCCCUGCUUUGGAUCCGCCCCUGCCGGCGCCGGUACUUCCCCAUUUGAAUUAUCGACCUUCAUACACCUCAUAACUUUUCGAGACCCCCACUUCAACCACGGCAUCGCGAAAUUGUGCAGCGGCGAUUUUGAUCUUCCUUCCGGUCCCAUCUCCAUCAUCAACUCCUCUCUUUCUUUACCUAAGCUCAUCAUCUCUGUCUUACCUACACACAUUCCACCAAAACCAAGCUCGCUCGUUCUUUCUCUCUCAAAUCUAACGCCCCCUGAUUUCUUAUUUUCGGGCUAAUGAACCACCUGUUAAUGGCGUCAGAUUCAACUCGUUGCUCUGGUCCCACUCCUGUCCUUCUCGAGCUUGCAUCACCUACCUCUCCACCCUCGACCUCCUCCAAUUCGACGACCCCGUCGCAGUUGAC